rnacentral:rRNA from 1 species
GAUGAACGCUGGCGGCGUGCUUAACACAUGCAAGUCGAACGAAGCACCUUGAUUCGAUUCUUCGGAUGAAGAUCUUGGUGACUGAGUGGCUGACGGGUGAGUAACGCGUGGGUAACCUGCCUCAUACAGGGGGAUAACAGUUAGAAAUGACUGCUAAUACCGCAUAAGACCACAGCACCGCAUGGUGCAGUGUUAAAAACUCCGGUGGUAUGAGAUGGACCCGCGUCUGAUUAGGUAGUUGGUGGGGUAACGGCCUACCAAGCCGACGAUCAGUAGCCGACCUGAGAGGGUGACCGGCCACAUUGGGACUGAGACACGGCCCAAACUCCGACGGGAGGCAGCAGUGGGGAAUAUUGCACAAUGGGGGAAACCCUGAUGCAGCGACGCCGCGUGAGCGAUGAAGUAUUUCGGUAUGUAAAGCUCUAUCAGCAGGGAAGAAAAUGACGGUACCUGACUAAGAAGCACCGGCUAAAUACGU